GGGAGCCUUAGGAUGAGCUCAAUGGGGACGUCUUUGUGGCCAAAGACCACACAACUAUGUCAGAGGGAUGUGGUGAUUUCCCCAGGAGAGGAGUGUUGAUGUAGCUACUUCCAGUGUUCCCUCUUAUCCUGAGGAAGUGUAUCUGGACACAUCACCAGCUGUACCGCCCUUGAGACAACGUGUCUGUUUUGCUGAUAGGAUGUGUUGAAGGUCUGCAUUGUGAAGAGAGCGGCAGCUCAGCACUCCCCUUUGCUGAACCACUGGUGCAUGCAGGUCAGGGUGUCGUAGGUUACUCUGAUGAGGAAGCUGUGCAGGGGUUUCCAAAGGUUAAACCCAUUGAUUGAUGUGCUGAUGAAUCCUUCCUUCUUCCCCGUGACACCUCCUUGAUCUUGCAGUGCUCCUGGUGUGUGGUGCCACAGCCAUGGCCUCUCUUCCUCUUUUCUUGUGUGAAUGAUUUUCCCCACACCAGACUUGAUCGUCUGACCUGAACCCCGUCAAUCUCUUCCUGAUGUUGCAGCCUGCUGAUGACUUGCUCUGGAUUCCAGAUUUGCUGUGGCUGAACUUUCCCUCACCUCCAGAGGCAGGGCAGGGACGCAGCAGAAAAAACAGAAAGCGGGCCAGGGGAAAUUCCUGCCAGGGAUCCAUGAGUGUCUUAAUACCACAGGAAUGCACAAGUGAAAUUUACAUGACUGUCAUGACAACUACAGAUACCAAGCAAGAUAAACCCAGGCGAGUCCCAGGCAGCGUUGUGGUUGCUAUUGCUUCUGUUGCUGUUUGUUCUUAUUUGUUAAUGAAAAGCUGCAGACAUAUCAGACCAUUGUUUUUGUUUGCAGCUUCAUCACAUUGCUAGAUGAAGACUUAAACUGGGAAAAGUUGUUUUUGUUGUUGUUUG